rnacentral:lncRNA from 1 species
CUGGACCUCAGCAUUUACACAAAAUAGGGGAGCUCUGUCUAAACGAGUCUUUUUGGCUGAUCAAUGAAGAUACAAAAAUGGAUUAUCAUUGUUGGCGUUCAAAUAAUGUUAUCUUAUUUACGAUUAACUAGAGCCUUACACACAAUCUUUACGUUUCCAUAAAAUACACAUCACUUUGUUUUGGUAUCGGCGGAUAGACACUGCUUAUCCACAUUUCAACCACACGUGUGUAGAAACAUCUCAUUGCCUGAACUGAGGCAAUGAAUGCAGCCUACUAACGAUGUAGAAAGGACGAUUUUGCAUGAACCGAGAACUUCUUCAGAUUUCUAACUAGCAAAUUAUGUCGUCUAUAAUAUGGAGAUAGUUGUCUACAUUUUCAUCAGGAUCUCGCUGAAAAUUUGUUUUUUGCCAAGGCAACGAACUAGAUUUCGCCACCCCCUCGUUGUUCCAGUCACUCCUCACAGUCCUGUCUUGGAAGGCUGGUUAGGAGGUGCUUUUUCGUGUUAGAUUCACAACUAGCAAUGAUGCUUCAAUAUUUUCUAAAUGUGAGGUAAACUGUUGGCAUAGUUUGCUAACGUUAUAUAUCAAGAAGCGGAGGGCCACUUUAACGAAUGCAUCAAUCAAACAUUAAUUUAAACCAGUGACAUUGGAAUUUGAAGACGGAGCCCAUCCGACCCUUUUCCCCCGAACCUGGAUAUCGGAAUGGUGGCUUGGAGCACCGAUAAUCUGGACACUUCCGGGGAGCCCACUACCCGCUCUGUGGGCACCACUGCCAACUUGAAGGGGAAGAUGAGCAAGAGGCUGUCUGUUGUGAAAGGUCACUUCCCUAAGCUCGUUGACUGUGCCCACUUCCACUAUGACAAUGUGGAGUUUGGCUCCA